AGAUGUAAGGACAAUUUGGCUGUAAUGUCUGUUACCCCAUUUGAUCACCAGAGUUGAUUCAGCAGAUCUGUCUGCUUAGGCAGGUGUCCCCUUCCUUCCUCACUGCUCAAUGAGUGCCCCUUCUAAAAACUAGGUGGGGAGGACAGCCUUUCCUGAAUAGAGAUGGACUGGUUUCUGGUCAGAGGUAUAGGAACAGCUGUGAUUUCCUUCUAGAACAUCCAAAACAAGCUCUGAAUGUCAAUAUCCCCUGGUCUCAUCAAAAUCUGACUCUCUUCCUUCACAGUUGACCCUAUUGGUGACCUUAAUAAUUUGCUUAGAAUCUGAUGUCUUCCUUU
rfam:Erinaceus europaeus unplaced genomic scaffold scaffold00004, whole genome shotgun sequence